rnacentral:rRNA from 1 species
AUUGAACGCUGGCGGCAUGCCUAACACAUGCAAGUCGAACGGGGCAGCAAUGCCUAGUGGCGGACGGGUGAGGAAUACGUAGGAAUCUGCCCUUAAGUGGGGGAUAACCAGGGGAAACCCUGACUAAUACCGCAUGAUCUCUUCGGAGCAAAGAGGGGGACCGCAAGGCCUGUCGCUUCUGGAUGGGCCUACGUCUGAUUAGCUAGUUGGUAGGGUAAAGGCCUACCAAGGCGACGAUCAGUAACUGGUCUGAGAGGAUGAUCAGUCACACCGAAACUGAGACACGGUCCGGACUCCUACGGGAGGCAGCAGUGGGGAAUAUUGGACAAUGGGCGCAAGCCUGAUCCAGCAAUGCCGCGUGUGUGAAGAAGGCCUUCGGGUUGUAAAGCACUUUAGCCUGGAAAGAAAAAACUUUGGUUAACACCCAAAGUCUUGACGGUACCAGGAGAAUAAGCACCGGCUAACUCUGUGCCAGCAGCCGCCGUAAUAC